AGCAGCCGCGGUAAUUCCAGCUCCAAUAGCGUAUAUUAAAGUUGUUGCAGUUAAAAAGCUCGUAGUUGAAUUUCGGGGUUCUACCGUUGGUCGGGCAAUAGUCUGUACUGGCGUGUAGAAUUUCUACCUUCUGGGGAACCAUCAUGUUAUUUAUUUAGCGUGGUGGGAAACCAGGACCCUUACCUUGAAAAAAUUAGAGUGUUCAAAGCAGGCUUACGUCUGAAUACAUUAGCAUGGAAUAAUAAAAUAGGACGGUGGUCCUGUUUUGUUGGUUUCUGAAUCACCGUAAUGAUUAAUAGGGAUAGUUGGGGGCAUUAGUAUUCAAUUGUCAGAGGUGAAAUUCUUGGAUUUAUUGAAGACUAACUUCUGCGAAAGCAUUUGUCAAGGAUGUUUUCAUUAAUCAAGAACGAAAGUUAGGGGAUCGAAGACGAUCAGAUACCGUCGUAGUCUUAACCAUAAACUAUGCCGACUAGGGAUCGGACGAUGUUAAUUUUUCUUGACUCGUUCGGCGCCUUACGGG
rnacentral:rRNA from 1 species